rnacentral:rRNA from 1 species
AGUGAACGCUGGCGGUAGGCCUAACACAUGCAAGUCGAACGGCAGCACAGUAAGAGCUUGCUCUUACGGGUGGCGAGUGGCGGACGGGCGAGGAAUACAUCGGAAUCUACUUUUUCGUGGGGGAUAACGUAGGGAAACUUACGCUAAUACCGCAUACGACCUACGGGUGAAAGCAGGGGAUCUUCGGACCUUGCGCGAUUGAAUGAGCCGAUGUCGGAUUAGCUAGUUGGCGGGGUAAAGGCCCACCAAGGCGACGAUCCGUAGCUGGUCUGAGAGGAUGAUCAGCCACACUGGAACUGAGACACGGUCCAGACUCCUACGGGAGGCAGCAGUGGGGAAUAUUGGACAAUGGGCGCAAGCCUGAUCCAGCCAUACCGCGUGGGUGAAGAAGGCCUUCGGGUUGUAAAGCCCUUUUGUUGGGAAAGAAAAGCAGCAGGUUAAUACCCCGCUGUUCUGACGGUACCCAAAGAAUAAGCACCGGCUAACUUCG